AUACUGUCAGCUAAGUGGCGCACGGGUGAGUAAUAUAUAGGUAAUGUGCCCUAGAGAAGAGGAUAACAUUUGGAAACGAAUGCUAAGACUCUAUAUGCCUUUAAGACAAAAGUCUGCAAGGGAAAUAUUUAUAGCUCUAGGAUCGGCCUGUACGGUAUCAGUUAGUUGGUGAGGUAAUGGCUCACCAAGACAAUGACGCCUAACUGGUUUGAGAGGAUGAUCAGUCACACUGGAACUGAGACACGGUCCAGACUCCUACGGGAGGCAGCAGUGGGGAAUAUUGCACAAUGGGGGAAACCCUGAUGCAGCAACGCCGCGUGGAGGAUGACACAUUUCGGUGCGUAAACUCCUUUUAUAUAGGAAGAUAAUGACGGUACUAUAUGAAUAAGCGCCGGCUAACUCCGUGCCAGCAGCCGCGGUAAUACGGAGGGCGCAAGCGUUACUCGGAAUCACUGGGCGUAAAGAGCGUGUAGGCGGGUUAAUAAGUUUGAAGUGAAAUCCUAUGGCUCAACCAUAGAACUGCUUUGAAAACUGUUAACCUAGAAUAUGGGAGAGGUAGAUGGAAUUUCUGGUGUAGGGGUAAAAUCCGUAGAGAUCAGAAGGAAUACCGAUUGCGAAGGCGAUCUACUGGAACAUUAUUGACGCUGAGACGCGAAAGCGUGGGGAGCAAACAGGAUUAGAUACCCUGGUAGUCCACGCCCUAAACGAUGUACACUAGUUGUUGUGAGGCUAGACCUUGCAGUAAUGCAGUAAACACAUUAAGUGUACCGCCUGGGGAGUACGGUCGCAAGAUUAAAACUCAAAGGAAUAGACGGGGACCCGCACAAGCGGUGGAGCAUGUGGUUUAAUUCGACGAUACGCGAAGAACCUUACCUGGACUUGACAUAGUAAGAACUUAUAAGAGAUUAUGAGGUGUCUGCUUGCAGAAGCUUAUAUACAGGUGCUGCACGGCUGUCGUCAGCUCGUGUCGUGAGAUGUUGGGUUAAGUCCCGCAACGAGCGCAACCCUCGUCGUUAGUUGCUAACAGUUCGGCUGAGAACUCUAACGAGACUGCCUGGGUAACCAGGAGGAAGGUGAGGACGACGUCAAGUCAUCAUGGCCCUUACGUCCAGGGCUACACACGUGCUACAAUGGGGUAUACAAAGAGCAGCGAUACGGUGACGUGGAGCAAAUCUCAAAAAUAUCUCCCAGUUCGGAUAGUAGUCUGCAACUCGACUACUUGAAGUUGGAAUCGCUAGUAAUCGUAGAUCAGC
rnacentral:rRNA from 1 species